rnacentral:rRNA from 1 species
GAUGGCCAGCUUGCUGGUCUGAUCAGUGGCGAACGGGUGAGUAACACGUGAGCAACCUACCCCAGACUCUGGAAUAACCAUGGGAAACGAUGGCUAAUACCGGAUACGAGACGCACACGCAUGUGUGGUGUCUGGAAAGAUUUAUCGGUCUGGGAUGGGCUCGCGGCCUAUCAGCUUGUUGGUGGGGUAGUGGCCUACCAAGGCGACGACGGGUAGCCGGCCUGAGAGGGCGACCGGCCACACUGGGACUGAGAUACGGCCCAGACUCCUACGGGAGGCAGCAGUGGGGAAUAUUGCACAAUGGGCGCAAGCCUGAUGCAGCGACGCCGCGUGAGGGAUGACGGCCUUCGGGUUGUAAACCUCUUUCAGCAGGGAAGAAGCGCAAGUGACGGUACCUGCAGAAGAAGCGCCGGCUAACUACGUGCCAGCAGCCGCGGUAAUACGUAGGGCGCAAGCGUUGUCCGGAAUUAUUGGGCGUAAAGAGCUCGUAGGCGGUUUGUCGCGUCUGCUGUGAAAACCUAAGGCUCAACCUUGGGCUUGCAGUGGGUACGGGCAGACUAGAGUGCGGUAGGGGUGACUGGAAUUCCUGGUGUAGCGGUGGAAUGCGCAGAUAUCAGGAGGAACACCGAUGGCGAAGGCAGGUCACUGGGCCGCAACUGACGCUGAGGAGCGAAAGCAUGGGGAGCGAACAGGAUUAGAUACCCUGGUAGUCCAUGCCGUAAACGUUGGGCACUAGGUGUGGGGCUCAUUCCACGAGUUCCGUGCCGCAGCAAACGCAUUAAGUGCCCCGCCUGGGGAGUACGGCCGCAAGGCUAAA